UGGGGAAUAUUGGACAAUGGGGGAAACCCUGAUCCAGCAAUGCCGCGUGUGUGAAGAAGGCCUUCGGGUUGUAAAGCACUUUAAGUUGGGAAGAAAAAGCUCACCCUAAUACGGUGAGCCUUGACGGUACCGACAGAAUAAGCACCGGCUAACUCUGUGCCAGCAGCCGCGGUAAUACAGAGGGUGCUAGCGUUAAUCGGAUUUACUGGGCGUAAAGCGUGCGUAGGCGGUUGGGUAAGUCGGAUGUGAAAGCCCUGGGCUUAACCUGGGAAUGCCAUUCGAUACUGCCCGACUCGAGUUCGGUAGAGGGCGGUGGAACUCCAGGUGUAGCGGUGAAAUGCGUAGAUAUCUGGAAGAACACCAAUGGCGAAGGCAACCGCCUGGGCCUGAACUGACGCUGAGGCACGAAAGCGUGGGGAGCAAACAGGAUUAGAUACCCCCGUAGUCC
rnacentral:rRNA from 1 species